rnacentral:lncRNA from 1 species
AAACACUGAGAGAGAAAGAACAACUUGUCAGGUGGUGCAUUGGAGACUGAUGUGUUCCUGUCCUGUCUUUUCAUAAUACUAUUGCAGAUCGACAUAAAAGCCUAAAAGACAGCCGUGGUGUUGCUCUUCAUUUCUUGGUUCUCCUGUGGUGCAUAAGAAACCCGCUACAGAUUGGUGCCGUGACCCGGAUCAACAGAUCAGCUGCAGCAGAUCGCCGAGGGACCCCUAAACAGAACUGGAUCGACAUCACACGUUUAAAACAUUUGAGGGCAAGGUGCAGGCCUAUUGAAAAUUGGACCGUUGGAGAUUUGCAGGCAAUGAU